CGGGACUGGAACCGGCACUUGGCACCCCUUACGCCUUACGGUGGCCGCUGCGCCCAGUCACAUCUGAGCGGAGAAUUUAAUAGGCAAGAAAGAAGGAAGAAGGCUGAAGGAAGAAGCUCCCCACUACAGAGACAGACGGAGGGGGCUCCCAAGACGAAAGAGGAGACCCCCAUUCUAGAUGUUCUUAACCCUUUGAGGGCAAAGCUCUCCGUUUAAUGCCUUGCACAUAUCAGGUUGCCAACAACAUGGUGUGGUUUAUCAAUUGUGAUAGGUUACUUAUUCGAGCCCCUGUUUACAAGAGUUUUAGUUUUGCAGGCUGAGAAGUACUAUGUUAAGAAAGAUUUUGAGGUUGUCCUCAUUCUACUGGAAGGAGUAUCAUUUGAUUUGUGAUGUCUGCCAUAGUUGGAAAGAAUUGGUGACCUGUUUAGAUUGCAUUUCUCUGGAAUGACCACAGCAAUAUUUCCAGCCCUUGAUGAUCUUCUAGAACUUUGCCACUUCCCUGCAUCA
rnacentral:lncRNA from 1 species